AGCCACCGCGGUAAUUCCAGCUCCAAUAGCGUAUAUUAAAGUUGUUGCAGUUAACAAAGCUCGUAGUUAGAAUUUCGGGGUUAGUAGGUUGGUCAUGCCCCUGGUAUGUACUGGUCUCACUGAUUCCUCCUUCCUGAUGAGCCGUAAUGCCAUUAAUUUGGUGUUGCGGGGAAUUUGGACUGUUACUUUGAAAAAAUUAGAGUGUUUAAAGCAAGCUAACGCUUGAAUACAUUAGCAUGGAAUAAUGAAAUAGGACGUUCGAUCCUAUUUUGUUGGUUUCUAGGAUUGACGUAAUGAUUAAUAGGGAUAGUUGGGGGCAUUAGUAUUCAAUUGUCAGAGGUGAAAUUCUUGGAUUUAUUGAAGACUAACUACUGCGAAAGCAUUUGCCAAGGAUGUUUUCAUUAAUCAAGAACGAAAGUUAGGGGAUCGAAGACGAUCAGAUACCGUGCGUAGUCUUAACCAUAAAUUAAGCCGAUUUGGGAUCGGAUGAUGUUAAUUUUUUAAUGACUCA
rnacentral:rRNA from 1 species